AGGAGGGACCACCCUCCAAGGCUAAAUACUACCUAGUGACCGAUAGCGUAUAGUACCGUGAGGGAAAGGGGAAAAGAACCCCGGGAGGGGAGUGAAAUAGAACCUGAAACCCUGCACUUACAAGCUGUGGAAGCACAUUUCUUGUGUGACCGCGUACUUUUUGUAGAACGGGCCAACGAGUUACGUUAAGUAGCAAGGUUAAGC
rnacentral:rRNA from 1 species